GAUGAACGCUAGCGGCAGGCCUAAUACAUGCAAGUCAAGGGGCCAGCAAUGGCACCGGCGGACGGGUGCGUAACGCGUACACAACGUACCUCUGACAGGGGGAUAGCAUUGGGAAACUGGUGGUAAUACCCCAUAGUAUUGCUGAGAGGCAUUUCUUGGCGAUUAAAGUUUCGGCGGUCAGAGAUCGGUGUGCGUCCGAUUAGCUAGUUGGCGGGGUAACGGCCCACCAAGGCGACGAUCGGUAGGGGGGUGUGAGAGCAUGACCCCCCCACAUGGGUACUGAGACACGGACCCAACUCCUACGGGAGGCAGCAGUAAGGAAUAUUGGACAAUGGUCGGAAGACUGAUCCAGCCAUGCCGCGUGAAGGACGAA
rnacentral:rRNA from 1 species